AGUGAACGCUGGCGGCAGGCCUAAUACAUGCAAGUCGAACGGCAGCACAGUGGAGCUUGCUCCAUGGGUGGCGAGUGGCGGACGGGUGAGGAAUACAUGGGAAUCUGCCCAGUCGUGGGGGAUAACGUAGGGAAACUUACGCUAAUACCGCAUGCGCCCUUCGGGGGAAAGCCGGGGACCUUCGGGCCUGGCGCGAUUGGAUGAGCCCAUGUUCGAUUAGCUAGUUGGCGGGGUAAAGGCCCACCAAGGCGACGAUCGAUAGCUGGUCUGAGAGGAUGAUCAGCCACACUGGGACUGAGACACGGCCCAGACUCCUACGGGAGGCAGCAGUAGGGAAUAUUGGACAAUGGGCGCAAGCCUGAUCCAGCCAUGCCGCGUGAGUGAAGAAGGCCCUCGGGUUGUAAAGCUCUUUUGUCCGGGAAGAAAAGCAUCGGGCCAAUACCUCGGUGUUCUGACGGUACCGGAAGAAUAAGCACCGGCUAACUUCGUG
rnacentral:rRNA from 1 species